ACAUCGAGCAAUUCAGAACUUCUUCGUCUUUGUCGCCGACGCUUUCUUCCACUUCUUCUCACUUUGUCGCUCAAGUAGGUCUUCGAGUUGGGGUAAUUUUCCGUCCUCUCUACCUCUCUUUUUAAUUUUCGGUUUACUUUCCGUUCGUUUAGGGUUUUCGUUUUCCGAUCAUCGGUAAAACUCUUUUCUAGGCGCCGAGAGGGAACAUUAGGUCGUCCUCGAACCAUGAUCUGUGAGUACGUAGCUAGCUUCCCCUUAACAAGAAUUUCAUUGAUAAUUUCCCUGGUAAUUUGCCUGUGCCACUUGACAUUCUUCCUAUUCUUACUAUGUUUGUUUUCUAACUGCUGACCUGCUUGCUUGCUUAAUCUUGGUUAUCUUUGUGCUGACCUGCUUGCUUGCUUAAUCUUGGUUAUCUUUGUUCUUAUUAUCUGCAUCGUGUUGUUAUCAUGCCAUAAAUCGGUUCAAGCUGCUUUGAAUUAUCAUGGCGACACUGGUUGACAUCAAUGUUGUAUUGCUUGCUAGCAUGAUCAUCUCCCUUUAUCUUUCCUUAAAUGCACUUUGAGAUUCUCAUAUGGAUUUGCAUCUUGUCAGUGUGAAUUAGUAUCAUUUUAUUUUUCCGUUUAAACUCCUUUGAGGCGCUAUGAAGUUCUAUUAGAUGGGGGAUUCUAACGCAUGUGCCACCAAAAAAGUUUUGAAGGUUUAGGUGGUUAUGGCUCACACACGUGGCGAUCCGGGUUCCACCUGUUUGCAGGUUUUUUUUCCGGGUUUGCCUCGUGUGGGUUGGGUCAUAACCACGUCUUCAUUGAGAAAAAAAAGAGGGGGUGGUGCGUAAAAGAAGUGUUAAGGGCGUUCAUCACCUAAGUGAAGUGAUGAGUUGGUGCGCUCUAACACAAGCACAAAGAAUGCGAGAAUGAAUGAACACCCCUCCAUGCAAGUCUGGAAAAAAUACUCAGACCAGAAUUCCCCCAUGUUUUACUUUACUACUUCCGCUUGUGUCACGAAGGUACGAUAAUGGAAACGAAAUGAUAUUCUCCAUUGACAAGGUUUAUUUUCAUUAGCACGAUAUGUGUGAAUUUCACUUGUACUUCUUUGCGGGACAUUGGUUUUUAAUUGUGUGGUCGAGCUUGACGCUUCAUGAGUCGUUGCUUGAUGAGCUGAAUGAAAUGUCGCUCUUUAGUCAUAAUAAGCUGCACUGGUUUGAGUUAGUUUAUUGCUUGAGCUCUAGCAAAGUGUAAGUGUGGGUAUAGCGUUCAUCUCCUUGCACUAAGUGAUUUUCUCCUCUUUAUUAUCCUGUUUGUGUCUCGUUUUCCGUCAUUGGACCCUUGCGGUCCCAUUUGAUAUAUCUUUGAGCGUUUUUGGUGAGGUUUUAGGUCAUGGUCAAUCAUCGCCUCAUGGUCUCAUUGCUAAGGUUGGUUUUGGACUAGUUUUAAUUUGAUUUUCACUUGCUCUCAUCAUUUCUUUUGGUCUGGAAUAACUGACUUUCUCCUUUAUACCUUUUGACGUGAAGGUGGGUUGGAGCUUGGUUGUGAAGGCUUCUCCGUGUUACAUGACUGUAUGGUUUGUCCUUUUCAUUUCCCUACUUCUUCCUGUAUGUUGUUGUCAUUCUAGGAUGUUCGCUCAACCAUUGCAGAUGGUAGCGGUGCCCGCAUUGAUAUCACACAUUCUCCAACUGCACAAGGGAAACAACAACUUGUCAAAGUUAUGAAACCUCAAAAUUCAACUCAUCUCUGGUAAUUCACCUCUGCCACUUGUCAUUUUUCGUGUUACAUGACUGUAUGGUUUGUCCUCUUCAUUUCUCUACUUCUUCAUGUAUGUUGUCGUCAUUCUAGGAUGUUCGCUCAUCCAUUGCAGAUGGUAGCGGUGCCCGCAUUGAUAUCACACAUUCUCCAACUGCACAAGGGAAACAACAUCUUGUCAAAGUUAUGAAACCUCAAAAUUCAACUCAUCCCUGGUAAUUCACCUCUGCCACUUUUCAUUUUUCGUAUUCAUGUUAUUAUUUUUCUGUAGUCUAUACGUUUCUGUAAGUCCUCGCUACUGUGUGCUAUGUUGGUCUUCUAACUGCUGACCUGUUUUGGUAAAGCUUUUGAUAUCAUUUUUUGCAACAUCAUCCUUCUGCUUUUCUUUCAUUUCUUUUCAUUUCUUUUCUAUGAUAAAAAUAACUCAUUCUUCCUUCUUUUCAUGGCUUUCUACUUGCGAGUUGACGAAAAUAUGGAGCUGUUUCAACUUGGUCUAGGGUCUAGGCAGUAGGGACUAGGUAGUGUGGUCUAGGUACUGAGGUUUAGGGUACGUUACGUAUAGUUAUUGGGGUCUAGGUAAGGUCUGGGGUUGGGGGUCUAGCGUCUAGGAUGAUCAUUUCUGUUGUUGAGAUCUGCAGACUUUCCUGUUGAAUUCGUAUGCUAGAGGGUGUGUCCUUGUUGACAGACUUUUGGAUCGAUAUUGAAAUGAGAUGGAUGCCAUUUAUUUUUUCCCUGGUUUUGGUGAAGUUCUUUGUUGAAAGAGAGGUGGAUAUGAAGAUGAGUUGUGAUGCCUUCUAAUGGCGGUUUAUAUAGGAUGGUGAGAGGCCAAAGACUGAUGGUAUGACUUGGGAUUCUGUGAUCCAGCACAGUCCCAACAAAUGUGGCUAACUAAGCAAUGUCCCUUUCUUGUCCACCAAUCCCUCAAACUCAUAAGUGGGAGGCAAAAGAUCCAAACUUUAUGACUUGGGAUUCUGUGAGCCAGCACAGUCCCAACAAAUGUGGCUAACUAAGCAAUGUCCCUUUCUUGUCCACCAAUCCCUCAAACUCAUAAGUGGGAGGCAAAAGAUCCAAACUUUAUGACUUGGGAUUCUGUGAGCCAGCACAGUCCCAACAAAUGUGGCUAACUAAGCAAUGUCCCUUUCUUGUCCACCAAUCCCUCAAACUCAUAAGUGGGAGGUAAAAGAUCCAAACUUUAUGACUUGGGAUUCUGUGAGCCAGCACAGUCCCAACAAAUGUGGCUAACUAAGCAAUGUCCCUUUCUUGUCCACCAAUCCCUCAAAACUCAUAAGUGGGAGGCAAAAGAUCCAAACUUUAUGUUUCACCAAUGUUAACAGAAGCUUAUGUAGCAGCAGCAGAAGAGUCAAUAAUAAAGUUUCCUCAUUGUUGCUUGUAUACUGCAGCGGGCAAGAGGAAUCUAGAUUGGAAAUUUAAACAGGUUAAAUUAUUAAUUCCAUCCGGGCAUGCUGCAACUUACUGGGAGAACAUGUUCUUGAUUGAUUGAUGCGAGUACAUUCUGGAUUCUUUGUUAGUAACCUUAUUUACUUCAGAGGGCUAUAAUUUCCCAAUUCAUUUUUUCUGGGAUUGGUUCUGCGCAUGGGCUCUAAUUUCACUAUGAAGAGCAUGCAUGAAGUUAAGGAAGGUUACAUCAAAGUGUAUUGCUGAUGCCAACAUCAAUCCAGAUUUAGAUUGGAUUUCAGCAUUUGCUUCUGACAGGCUGCAUUAUCCUGUUGAUUGACAGGCUGAUAUCAGCAAUGUCGAGGAGGGUUAGUUAGUAUGUGUUUGUUUCCUUGACUAGCCCCUGAAAGUGGUGGUGAAUGCCUGGCUGUUGGUAUCAAUCUUAACGAUUUCUUUGGUUUAAAAGGAAACUUUCGAGUUCUGGUGUGGUUUUGAAUUUUGCUACCACAAUCAUAUGAGGCUGGGUUAGAACUCGAAUGAUGUACCGUAUGUGUAAAUCAAUCUGAUGUAGUAUUUGCGAAUUGCGAUUGAAUUAUUAGACCGGUUGGUAUUCACUAUUGAAUCACUUAUGUUAGGUAUGGGCCGACCCGGUAUAUUUCCCCACACUCUCCAGAUAAAGCCUUAAAAAGGCUUGCAAAAUAGUUUUUACAUUUUCAUCGGCCGCCGAUCACCGGGUUCUCUCUUCACAAUCGCCGCGCCUUUUACAUUUUCAUCGGCCGCCGAUCACCGGUUUCUCUCUUCACAAUCGCCGGCGCUGUAUAUUUGAUUCCUCCCGAUGUCUUCUCUACGCCGUCAAUGCGAACAAAAUAUAGCUCUUCUUCUGAUCGCCAAAGCUAAUGUCCUUCUUCGAUCACGGCACUUCCGGCAUUUCCCUUUUCAUCACAUUCUUCCGUAUUCGCGCAAUUGCUUCUUCCGUUGCUUUCACCUGCAAUCUGACGGCCUAAUUUGAAAUUACUCAGACCGAACCGUUUCUUUCAUAUGGCAG
rnacentral:lncRNA from 1 species